rfam:Tritrichomonas foetus strain K scaffold_880, whole genome shotgun sequence.
UCGCUGGUAGUGUAAUGGUAUCAUGUAGGAUUGUCGUUCCUGUGACCCGGGUUCGAUUCCCGGCCAGCGAG